rnacentral:rRNA from 1 species
AGAACGAACGCUAGCGGCAGGCCUCAAACAUGCAAGUCGCACGCGAAAGGUAGCAAUACCGAGUAGAGUGGCGCACGGGUGAGUAACACGUAGCUAACUUCCCCUCUCGCUGGGGACAACUCCGGGAAACCGGAGCUAAUACCGAAUGAUCUGAUCGAAUCUGCGGGUUUGAUCGGUAAAGCCUUCGGGCGCGAGAGGAUAGGGCUGCGGCCUAUUAACUUGUUGGUAGGGUAAUGGCCUACCAAGGUGACGAUAGGUAGCUGGUCUGAGAGGACGACCAGCCACACUGGAACUGACACACGGUCCAGACUCCCAGGGAGCAGCAGUUAGGAAUAUGGACAAUGGGCGCAAGCCUGAUCCAGCCAUGCCGCGUGAGGGAUGAAGGCUUUCGGGUCGUAAACCUCUUUAGCAGGACAAAGGGCAACCUGAUGGUACCUGACAAGAAAAAGCACCGGCUAACUCCGCGCCAGCAGCCGAC